AUGGACUGCAGUCUUCAGUCCACGGCCGCACAACAAAGUACAAGGACCAAAUGCGAUCUGUGAAAUUUGAAUGACAACCAAAUAGCACCAAUCACGUAUACCUUCAAAAUUGAGAAAAUUAGUCAACAGAAAAAUAAGUUUCCGUAUCGUUUCAUAAACUUUUAGGUUCGAUGCCGAUUCAUUAAUACAUAAUGUUUUCAGAUAUCUACUACAUUGCAAAAUCAACACCGAAAAGGUCCUACAGUCUUGACGAUGAUUACGAUAUUAUAUUGCCGCCGUGGUACGACCUCUCAGCGCGAAACCGUCUACAAUAUCAUAUUACUGCUGCUGCAGUCGGUUUCGCGCAGUCGACGUCGUAAUUUCCGUUUAGUCGCGAUAAUGCGAUGUAAAACGCUGCAAAACGACCGCGACUAAUGAAACAUAACAAAAACAAAAACGUCUUUUGUCCAUGCGAAACGACGUUUUAUAUUACUAUAUUAUUAUUGUAUUAUUGUGUAAUAAGACUUACAUACGAGUCGGGUAGGCUUGAAAGCCGGGAAGUGUAUAUAGUAUAUAUAUAUAUAGUAUAAGUAUCGGUGAGUACGUUUGUCGCGUGUGUGAAGUGCGCUUGCGCGUGCUGUUUGGUAAUAUAGCAUUAUUAUGUACAUAUAUAGGUAUUGUACACCAACAUACGUAAAUAAAGUUAUUUUUUAUAUAUAUAUCAUAUAACAUUAUAUAUGUGCUCGUUCCGGUCACGCGAAGAUCAAACCGGCGCGUAUCGCGUUCGGCCCGUGACGACGUCAUAAUAUUAAUAAUAAUAAUAAUGAUAAUAUAAUGUCGCGACGUCGACGGGCGCUUUACCCGCCUUUACCCGAAUACAUGAGUAUGCACUUGGAGGACAAGCCGACAGUGGUAUACUAUUAUAUUGUUUUAUCGUUCCC